rnacentral:lncRNA from 1 species
AGCACUGGGGGGCGGGUGGAGGCUGGUCCGGAGUAUCCCGGGAACCUCGGAGUCCCUACAAUCUUCUAAAGCGAAGGACCGGACACCCUCGGAACCGAUCACAGCCCGGGAAAGGCUGGAGAGCUGGAGGCCCAAGGGCCCGCGAAGGGAGAAGGGAGAGGAGGGGGCAAACAAAGGAGGAAACAACCGAACCUCGAGCGAUGUGCGAGAAGAACGGCCGCGACCGAGGGUGCUCCGGGGCGCGGAGAGAGGCGGAGGGCGCCGGCGGGAGAGCGAGAGUCCGGGGUCUGCUAGUCGCUGCUGGUGAAUAAAAAGGAGAGAGGAGGCGCCUCUUACUGCUCUGCCGGAAAACUGCAGCCUGCGCUCCUGAUUGGACUCACCGAGCCCUAAACAAACAGCGCUAGCCGAAGGGUGCCAGGCUGUGGGUCGGAACUGCUCUCUACAAGCUGCUGGGUGCGGAGCUCACAAAAGGGAUUUCUUUCGACAAGCUGGACAUUGGAAGAAGGCUGCGAGAAGGGAAUUGAACAUGAGAAACACUCUUGUGGGAGUGGAUUCUUACAGGAACACCCCAGUCACUGUGGCUUCAGCGUGGCUGCAUUUAUGAAAGGCUGGAAGUAGAAAACUCUGGAAUGGAGAGACUAGCAGCUGGAACAGGAUUCAAAGGCUUUAAAUUUUAACCCGAGUUCGAUCGAAAGUUACUACCACAAGAGACUGGCACGGGCCGGCCCAAUUCCCACCACGGCUUCCAGCGGCUUGCUUUGGGUUGUCCGCUAGGCGUCGAAGACUAGAGAACACACUGACCCUGGCGCCUCUGGGACAGAGGUGAGGAGUUCGACCCAAACGAACAGAUUCGACAACAUUCGGACUCUAGAGGCUGGGGAAGAAACCCAUAAUUUUACCGUCCUCAUUCCCAAUCAUUUUAGUAGUGCCUCCAACCACAAGAAAACCGAUAGAUCAUUGUUUUUCCUUUCAGGGCUCAAAAUUCACCUUUUAAACUUUUUUUAAAGACUAGCUUUCCGAAAGAGGAAUAGGUUAGAGAAAUAUUUUUUUUUCCAUCUCAGUUAAUGUAAAAAUAAAACCUGUCCGGUUGACUAAGACAAAAA